rnacentral:rRNA from 1 species
GGGGAUAACGACUGGAAACGGUCGCUAAUACCCCAUAUGCCGAGAGGUGAAAUGAAUUUCGCCUGAGGAUGAGCUCGCGUCUGAUUAGCUAGUUGGUGGGGUAAAGGCCUACCAAGGCGACGAUCAGUAGCUGGUCUGAGAGGAUGAUCAGCCACACUGGGACUGAGACACGGCCCAGACUCCUACGGGAGGCAGCAGUGGGGAAUUUUCCGCAAUGGGCGAAAGCCUGACGGAGCAACGCCGCGUGAGGGAUGAAGGCCUCUGGGCUGUAAACCUCUUUUCUCAAGGAAGAAGAUCUGACGGUACUUGAGGAAUAAGCCACGGCUAAUUCCGUGCCAGCAGCCGCGGUAAUACGGGAGUGGCAAGCGUUAUCCGGAAUUAUUGGGCGUAAAGCGUCCGCAGGCGGCCUUGUAAGUCUGUCGUUAAAGCGUGGAGCUUAACUCCAUUUCAGCGGUGGAAACUACAAGGCUUGAGUGUGGUAGGGGCAGAGGGAAUUCCCGGUGUAGCGGUGAAAUGCGUAGAUAUCGGGAAGAACACCAGUGGCGAAGGCGCUCUGCUGGGCCAUAACUGACGCUCAUGGACGAAAGCCAGGGGAGCGAAAGGGAUUAGAUACCCCUGUAGUCCUGGCCGUAAACGAUGAACACUAGGCGUCGGGGGAAUCGACCCCCCCGGUGUCGUAGCCAACGCGUUAAGUGUUCCGCCUGGGGAGUACGCACGCAAGUGUGAAACUCAAAGGAAUUGACGGGGGCCCGCACAAGCGGUGGAGUAUGUGGUUUAAUUCGAUGCAACGCGAAGAACCUUACCAGGGUUUGACAUCCUGCGAAUCUCUAAGAAAUUGGAGAGUGCCCUCGGGAACGCAGUGACAGGUGGUGCAUGGCUGUCGUCAGCUCGUGUCGUGAGAUGUUGGGUUAAGUCCCGCAACGAGCGCAACCCACGUCUUUAGUUGCCAGCAUUCAGUUGGGCACUCUAGAGAGACCGCCGGUGAUAAACCGGAGGAAGGUGUGGAUGACGUCAAGUCAUCAUGCCCCUUACAUCCUGGGCUACACACGUACUACAAUGCUACGGACAAAGGGCAGCAAGCUCGCGAGAGUUAGCAAAUCCCAUAAACCGUGGCUCAGUUCAGAUCGUAGGCUGCAACUCGCCUACGUGAAGGAGGAAUCGCUAGUAAUCGCAGGUCAGCAUACUGCGGUGAAUACGUUCCCGGGCCUUGUACACACCGCCCGUCACACCAUGGAAGUUAGCCACGCCCGAAGUCGUUACUCCAACCCUUGUGGAGGAGGACGCCGAAGGUGGGGCUGAUGACUGGGGUGAAGUCGUAACAAGGUAGCCGUACCGGAAGGUGC